UUCGUGACAUGAGGCAGACAGUUGCUGUGGGUGUCAUCAAAGCUGUGGACAAGAAGGCUGCUGGAGCUGGCAAAGUCACCAAGUCUGCCCAGAAAGCUCAGAAGGCUAAAUGAAUAUUACCCCUAACACCUGCCACCCCAGUCUUAAUCAGUGGUGGAAGAACGGUCUCAGAACUGUUUGUCUCAAUUGGCCAUUUAAGUUUAAUAGUAAAAGACUGGUUAAUGAUAACAAUGCAUCGUAAAACCUUCAGAAGGAAAGAAUGUUUUGUGGACCAUUUUU
rnacentral:lncRNA from 1 species